AGAGACCCACGGAUGUCCCUCACCUUUUGAAUUUUCUUCUUCUCCCUGAACCGGCCAAAAACACAGCCGAGAGCCCCCUCCAAAGCCAUUUUUUCUUUUCUUCCUCAGCCUCCCGAAGACCCCACCUCCACCAGACCUCCACUUUACCCAUCGCAGCCACCGAACCAGCUCCCCCUCACUCUCUUCAUCAGACCACAAGCAACAAUAACCCAGCACAGCCAACACCCCAGUUCCUCCGUCUCCCUCCUGGCCA
rnacentral:lncRNA from 1 species